UACGGAGGGGGCAAGCGUUGUUCGGAAUUAUUGGGCGUAAAGAGUAUGUAGGCGGCUAUUUAAGUCAGGCGUGUAAGCCCACGGCUCAACCGUGGAAUUGCGUUUGAAACUAUUUAGCUUGAGUACAGGAGAGGAAGGCGGAAUUCCCAGUGUAGCGGUGAAAUGCAUUGAUAUUGGGAGGAAUACCAGUGGCGAAGGCGGCCUUCUGGACUGACACUGACACUGAGGUGCGAAAGCGUGGGUAGCAAACAGG
rnacentral:rRNA from 1 species